CCUACGGGUGGCAGCAGUGGGGAAUAUUGGUCAAUGGGCGCAAGCCUGACCCAGCAACGCCGCGUGAAGGAAGAAGGCUUUCGGGUUGUAAACUUCUUUUUUCAGGGACGAAGCAAGUGACGGUACCUGACGAAUAAGCCACGGCUAACUACGUGCCAGCAGCCGCGGUAAUACGUAGGUUGCAAGCGUUAUCCGGAUUUACUGGGUGUAAAGGGCGUGUAGGCGGGACUGUAAGUCAGAUGUGAAAACCACGGGCUCAACCUGUGGCCUGCAUUUGAAACUGUAGGUCUUGAGUACUGGAGAGGCAGACGGAAUUCAUAGUGUAGCGGUGAAAUGCGUAGAUAUUAGGAGGAACACCAGUGGCGAAGGCGGUUUGCUGGACAGCAACUGACGCUGAGGCGCGAAAGCGUGGGGAGCAAACAGGAUUAGAUACCCUGGUAGUC
rnacentral:rRNA from 1 species